AAUAUUAAAACUAAUUUUAGUACGUUAGGUCAUAAUUCAUAGACAUCUAAAUUUAGGUUUGGCCUUACGAGGUUAAAUAAAUUAUAUUUAAAUCUUUCGUCUCCUUCAUUUCAAGAAUAUGUCGAUGCAAAAGAAAGAGACAGCCAAGAUAUAAAACAGUCUAAACAGUAUUUUGUAUGAAGUUUUGUUUUCAAGCUUUGUUAAUUAAAGAGGCUUUGUGGUGAAUAUUACACCCAUUGAAAUAUAUUGUGUUUUAUU
rnacentral:misc_RNA from 1 species